UACGAAGGGGGCUAGCGUUGUUCGGAAUCACUGGGCGUAAAGGGCUCGUAGGCGGCCAACUAAGUCGGAUGUGAAAUCCCCAGGCUUAACCUGGGAACUGCAUCCGAUACUGGAUGGCUUGAAUUCGGGAGAGGGAUGCGGAAUUCCAGGUGUAGCGGUGAAAUGCGUAGAUAUCUGGAGGAACACCGGUGGCGAAGGCGGCAUCCUGGACCGAGAUUGACGCUGAGGCGCGAAAGCCAGGGGAGCAAACGGG
rnacentral:rRNA from 1 species